CAGUAUAGCCAUACCACCCUGAUGUGCCUGAUCUUGUCUGAUCUUGGAAGCAAAGCAGGGUAGGGCCUGGUUAGUACUUGAAUGGGAGUUGUUUUGU
rnacentral:rRNA from 1 species